rnacentral:rRNA from 1 species
GUCUACAGCCAUGACAUCCUGACGGUGCCUGACCUCGUCUGAUUUCCUAAAGCUAAGCAGGGUCGGUCUUGGUUAAUACUUAGAUGGGAGACCACCUAAGAAUACCAGGUGCUGUUGGCA